CUACGGGGUGCUCCAGUUAAGUAUAAUCUACAAUGCACGCAAGUGUGAUAGUUUGAGCCAGAGUGUUUUCCACACGGAAAACUUUUGUGAAAUGUAAAAAGUUUCACGAAUAAGGACUGGGUAAGACUAGUGCCAGCCGCCGCGGUAAUACUAGCGGUCCAAGUCGCAGCCAUUUUUAUUGGGUCUAAAACAUCCGUAGCUUGCUUAGUAAGUCCCUUGUGAAAUUCUAUAUCUUAAGUAUGGAGCGGGCAAAGGGGUACUGUUAAGCUAGAGACUGGAAGACGUAACGAGUACGUUUGGAGUAGCGGUAAAAUGUGUUAAUCCCAGACGGACUAACAAUAGCGAAGGCAUGUUACGAGAACAGUUCUGACAGUAAGGGAUGAAGGCUAGGGGCGCAAAACGGAUUAGAUACCCCGGUAGUC
rnacentral:rRNA from 1 species